AUGCGUGCUUCGAAAGGUUGUUGUUCGCGGUGGCCUUUGGAUCCAGUAAUGGUUGAAGGGAGCUGCAUUCAUGUCGAUUCCGACAGUGGUCUCUGGAAGGAUACGGGUUUAUCAAUCAAGAAUGAGAUGCUCGUCAUACUUUCUUAUCGUGCCUUGAAAAAGGAUGUGAGCAGAAACCAACUAAGAUUGCAUCCGAACAAAAGGGAUCAGAGGCUUUUGGAUGAUAAAGGCGAUAGGAGAGGUCUGUUGUUGCUUCCACAACCUUGCACUUUGAAAUCCACUCCUUGA